GACGAACGCUGGCGGCGUGCUUAACACAUGCAAGUCGAACGGAAAGGCCCUGCUUUUGUGGGGUGCUCGAGUGGCGAACGGGUGAGUAACACGUGAGUAACCUGCCCUUGACUUUGGGAUAACUUCAGGAAACUGGGGCUAAUACCGGAUAGGAGCUCCUGCUGCAUGGUGGGGGUUGGAAAGUUUCGGCGGUUGGGGAUGGACUCGCGGCUUAUCAGCUUGUUGGUGGGGUAGUGGCUUACCAAGGCUUUGACGGGUAGCCGGCCUGAGAGGGUGACCGGCCACAUUGGGACUGAGAUACGGCCCAGACUCCUACGGGAGGCAGCAGUGGGGAAUAUUGCACAAUGGGCGGAAGCCUGAUGCAGCAACGCCGCGUGCGGGAUGACGGCCUUCGGGUUGUAAACCGCUUUCGCCUGUGACGAAGCGUGAGUGACGGUGAUGGGUAAAGAAGCACCGGCUAACUACG
rnacentral:rRNA from 1 species